rnacentral:rRNA from 1 species
GACGUAGGGGGCCAGCGUUGUUCGGAAUUACUGGGUGUAAAGGGUUCGUAGGCGGUGUAGCAAAUCGGGAGUGAAAUCUCUGGGCUUAACCCAGAGACUGCUUCCGAAACUGCUGUGCUUGAGUGUGGGAGAGGCGCGUGGAAUUGCAGGUGUAGCGGUGAAAUGCGUAGAUAUCUGCAGGAACACCCGUGGCGAAAGCGGCGCGCUGGACCACUACUGACGCUGAGGAACGAAAGCGUGGGGAGCGAACAGG